rnacentral:rRNA from 1 species
AUUGAACGCUGGCGGCAGGCCUAACACAUGCAAGUCGAACGGUAACAGGAAUCAGCUUGCUGAUUUGCUGACGAGUGGCGGACGGGUGAGUAUGUCUGGGAAACUGCCUGAUGGAGGGGGAUAACUACUGGAAACGGUAGCUAAUACCGCAUAACGUCGCAAGACCAAAGAGGGGGACCUUCGGGCCUCUUGCCAUCGGAUGUGCCCAGAUGGGAUUAGCUAGUAGGUGGGGUAACGGCUCACCUAGGCGACGAUCCCUAGCUGGUCUGAGAGGAUGACCAGCCACACUGGAACUGAGACACGGUCCAGACUCCUACGGGAGGCAGCAGUGGGGAAUAUUGCACAAUGGGCGCAAGCCUGAUGCAACCAUGCCGCGUGUAUGAAGAAGGCCUUCGGGUUGUAAAGUACUUUCAGCGGGGAGGAAGGGAGUAAAGUUAAUACCUUUGCUCAUUGACGUUACCCGCAGAAGAAGCACCGGCUAACUCCGUGCCAGCCGCCGCAGUAAAAC